rnacentral:misc_RNA from 1 species
GAUGAAGAACGUAGCGAAAAUGCGAUACUUGGUGUGAAUUGCAGAAUCCCGUGAACCAUCGAGUCUUUGAACGCAAGUUGCGCCCGAAGCCAUUAGGCCGAGGGCACGCCUGCCUGGGCGUCACACGUCGUUGCCCCCCCAUCUACUCCUUCGGGAUUGCGGGGGGCGGAUGAUGGCCUCUCGUGCGCCUCGUCGCGCGGUUGGCCUAAAUGCCAAGUCCUCGGCGACGCACGCCACGACAAUCGGUGGUUGCGAAACCUCGGUUGCCUGUCGUGUGCGGUCGUCGCGCAUCGAGGGCUCGAAAAAAUUGCCGGGCUUCGGCUCGACUUUCAACGCGACCCCAGGUCAGGCGGGGUUACCCGCUGAAUUUAAGCAUAUCAAUAAGCGGAGGA